GACGAACGCUGGCGGCGUGCUUAACACAUGCAAGUCGAACGGAAAGGCCCUGCUUUUGUGGGGUGCUCGAGUGGCGAACGGGUGAGUAACACGUGAGUAACCUGCCCUUUACUUUGGGAUAACUUCAGGAAACUGGUGCUAAUACCGGAUAGGAGCUCCUGCUGCAUUGUGGGGGUUGGUAAGUUUCGGCGGUUGGGGAUGGACUCGCGGCUUAUCAGCUUGUUGGUGGGGUAGUGGCUUACCAAGGCUUUGACGGGUAGCCGGCCUGAGAGGGUGAACGGCAACAUUGGGACUGAGAGACGGCCCAGACGCCAACGGGAGGAAGCAGUGGGGAAUAUUGCAAAAUGGGCGGAAGCAUGAUGCAGAAACGCCGCGUGCGGGAUGACGGCCUGCGGGUUGUAAACCGCUUUAGCAUGUGACGAAGCGUGAGUGACGGUAAUGGGUAAAGAAGCACCGGCUAACUACGUG
rnacentral:rRNA from 1 species